AUUGAGCAAGAUGGGGAUGUAGUCAAAUCACAAGAAGACGCUCGCGCGGAGCAUCAAUCAAUCCGCGAAGGGCAUCGAGCUGAAAGAGAGAGCAGAACAGCGGAGCCAAAAAAUAUGGAUAAGAUGAUGAAACUAGUCAAUUCUCUCGUAGAACGUGUCGCUUCGUCAUCUGAUGCGGUUGUUCCAAAGAAUCCAUUGUCCAGCUCCACCAAGCCAGCGAAAAAGUUCAAGUCUCUCGAUGCUCGUCGAUCCAGUUUGGCCAAGCGGACUGGAGCACAUUGGAAAAAAUAAUUGGAAAAGAUUAGAGAUGAGGAAAGCAAAAGCCGUGGUCGAUGCUGAAAGGCAGAAUAAGUUCAACCCGAUUUUUUCCCGACAAAGAUGGAACUCAAGGAUCACCUCAGAGACAAUCAGGGAGAGGAGCAAAAGUGUGAAAUUCCCUUUCAGCAUCGACCACGGCUUUUGCUUUCCUCAUCUCUGAUCUUUUCCAAUUCUUUUUUCCAAUGUGCUCCAGUCCGCUUGGCCAAACUGGAUUGACGAGCAUCGAGAAACUUGGACUUUUUCGCUGGUUUGGUGGAGCUGGACGAUGGAUUCUUUGGAGCAACCGCAUCAGAUGACGAAGCGACACGUUCUACGAGGGAAUUGACUAGUUUCAUCAUCUUAUCCAUAUUUUUUGGCACCGCUGUUCUGCUCUCUCUUUCAGCUCAAUGCCACAGCGCCCAUGGUGCCCCAUCUUGCUCGAUUUGAAAAAUUUUAUAGUUUUAGAUGUAAAAUACAAGUUUUUGAAAUGUUGAAUCAAUAAAGA
ensembl:ncRNA rncs-1 ncRNA